CCCCUCUCAAGAUUGUACCUGGAGAAUUUCCAGUACUCUACCAGUCUCAGUUACAGGAGGAAGAGUCAAGCAGAGGCAUUUCAAUUCCUAGCUUGGACAGUGGCUAGCGAGUGGAAGGCAGUCUGCUACAAGU